rnacentral:rRNA from 1 species
GGGUAGUUUGACUGGGGCGGUCUCCUCCUAAAGAGUAACGGAGGAGCACGAAGGUCAGCUAAUCCUGGUCGGACAUCAGGAGGUUAGUGCAAUGGCAUAAGCUGGCUUGACUGCGAGCGUGACGGCGCGAGCAGGUGCGAAAGCAGGUCAUAGUGAUCCGGUGGUUCUGAAUGGAAGGGCCAUCGCUCAACGGAUAAAAGGUACUCCGGGGAUAACAGGCUGAUACCGCCCAAGAGUUCAUAUCGACGGCGGUGUUUGGCACCUCGAUGUCGGCUCAUCACAUCCUGGGGCUGAAGUAGGUCCCAAGGGUAUGGCUGUUCGCCAUUUAAAGUGGUACGCGAGCUGGGUUUAGAACGUCGUGAGACAGUUCGGUCCCUAUCUGCCGUGGGCGCUGGAGAAUUGAGGGGGGCUGCUCCUAGUACGAGAGGACCGGAGUGGACGCAUCACUGGUGUUCGGGUUGUCAUGCCAAUGGCAUUGCCCGGUAGCUAAAUGCGGAAGAGAUAAGUGCUGAAAGCAUCUAAGCACGAAACUUGCCCCGAGAUGAGUU